AUUGAACGCUGGCGGCAGGCCUAACACAUGCAAGUCGAACGAACUCUUCGGAGUUAGUGGCGGACGGGUGAGUAACACGUGGGAACGUGCCUUUAGGUUCGGAAUAACUCAGGGAAACUUUCGCUCAUACCGAAUGUGCCCUGCGGGGGAUAGAUUUAUCGCGUUUAGAGCGGCCCGCGUCUGAUUAGCUAGUUGGUGAGGUAAAGGAUCACCAAGGCGACGAUCAGUAGCUGGUCUGAGAGGAUGAUCAGCCACAUUGGGACUGAGACACGGCCCAAACUCCUACGGGAGGCAGCAGUGGGGAAUCUUGCGCAAUGGGCGAAAGCCUGACGCAGCCAUGCCGCGUGAAUGAUGAAGGUCUUAGGAUUGUAAAAUUCUUUCACCGGGGACGAUAAUGACGGUACCCGGAGAAGAAGCCCCGGCUAACUUCGUGCCAGCCGCCGCAGUAACAC
rnacentral:rRNA from 1 species